rnacentral:rRNA from 1 species
AUGGCUCAAGCCAUUGUCCAAAGCUCAUGUAGAAAGCUCAGAUCCGCCAUCGCCAUCGCCAUGGGAGCUGAGGCCACGGGCGAUUUGCAGGAAAUAAUGGAAACGCUGGAGGCCAUACACCCGCUGCUGGAGGACGCCGAGAUGCGGUGUCUUCGUUUUACGGGUGAUGUCCCCAGAGAGGGAUUCAAGGAAAUGAUAGAUUCGUCGGAAGCCAUACAGCCGCUGCUGGAGGAUGCCCCCCAGCAAAUGGAGGUAUGUUACUUCACCAUCCUUAUACAUUUUGAAGAAAAGCUCAGAUCCUGUCAUUGUUAG